AUUGUAAAGAAAUUUAAGUUGGGAGGAAGGGCAUUAAAUUAAUACUUUGCUGUUUUGACGUUACCGACAGAAUAAGCACCGGCUAACUCUGUGCCAACAGCCGCGGUAAUACAGAGGGUGCAAGCGUUAAUCGGAAUUACUGGGCGUAAAGCGCGCGUAGUGGUUCGUUAAGAUGGAUGUGAAAUCCCCGGGCUCAACCUGGGAACUGCAUUCAAAACUGACGAGCUAGAGUAUGGUAGAGGGUGGUGGAAUUUCCUGUGUAGCGGUGAAAUGCGUAAUAUAGGAAGGAACACCAGUGGCGAAGGCGACCACCUGGACUGAUACUGACACUGAGGUGCGAAAGCGUGGGGAGCAAACAGAUUAGAUACCCUGGUAGUCCACGCCGUAAACGAUGUCAAUACCCGUUGGGAAGCCUUUGAGCUUUUAGUGGCGCAGCUAACGCAUUAAGUUGACCGCCCUGGGGAGUACGGCCGCAAGGUUAAAACUCAAAUGAAUGACGGGGGCCCGCACAAGCGGUGGAGCAUGUGGUUUAAUUGAAGCAACGCGAAGACCUUACCAGGCCUUGACAUCCAAUGAACUUUCUAGAGAUAGAUUGGUGCCUUCGGGAACAUUGAGACAGGUGCUGCAUGGCUGUCGUCAGCUCGUGUCGUGAGAUGUUGGGUUAAGUCCCGUAACGAGCGCAACCCUUGUCCUUAGUUACCAGCACGUAAUGGUGGGCACUCUAAGGAGACUGCCGGUGACAAACCGGAGGAAGGUUGGGAUGACGUCAAGUCAUCAUGGCCCUUACGGCCUGGGCUACACACGUGCUACAAUGGUCGGUACAGAGGGUUGCCAAGCCGCGAGGUGGAGCUAAUCCCAGAAAACCGAUCGUAGUCCGGAUCGCAAUCUGCAACUGACUCGUGUGAAGUCGGAAUCGCUAGUAAUCGCGAAUCAGAAUGUCGCGGGGGAAUACGGUCCCGGGCCUUGUACACACCGCCCGUCACACCA
rnacentral:rRNA from 1 species